AAUUAUAUUUUUAAACAUAUAAAAUAUUUAUAUUUUUAAAUAAUUAAGAAAAUUGAAAAUAAAAUGAAUUAUUAAAACAAAAUAAAAAUUUGAUAUGUUGUGUGCUCAAAAAGCAAGCGGCAAACUUUCCCCCCUGUUUCAUUUGAGUUAGUCAUUCAGCACAGAAACAAAACUCUACACACUCACACUGCGCCUUCGUUGAAACAUCCUUCGGCUGCUAAAACUCAACUCUCCAUCAAAUACACCAUCUCCGCUGCUCAAACUCACCGGUGAUUAGGGUUUCAAUUGAAUUGGGGCUUCACUGGAACUAGGGCUUCAACAGUGUUUUAAUUUAAUUGCAACUUCGAUUUGCUUAGAUAUAAGCAAAAUAUACAAAGUUUGUUUGAUGUUGUGGUCCAUGCUGUUAAUGAAGAUUAUGUGGAAAUGGCUCAAGGAUUUCACCAGGCUUGAGUUUCUUGCUAGUGGAACAGAUGACUCCUAUUGCCACAGCCUUGGAAUCACAUAUCAUGCACUUCAUUUAUGUAUGGAGAAGGGUGUAUUUUAGAGAAAAGGCUAGAGAGCACAGGCUAAUUGUUGUUACUUUUAGUUGGUUUUGAAUUGUUAGGUAAUUUGAUUUGGUUGGAUUUGUUAUGAAAUUUGUAAGAAAGAAUAGUUUAUUGGGAUGUUUAAUAUAUAAAGAGUAUAUUUUCAAUUUCUUUUAGAAUAAUGUUG